rnacentral:lncRNA from 1 species
AUACUUCAAGUAGAAGACCCACUGAAAUUAACAAUGACACCACUACACGUACAAGAACAAAUAUAACUGAUACUAGUACUAGUACACCUGUUAAUAUAACUAGUGAUAUUAUAAAUGCUGUAACUAAUGAAACCACAAAUACAAAUAUUACUAAUAUUGUAGCUAAUAAUAUAAAUAAUACCAAUGCAUCUAAUACUAUUGUUAUAUGGAAUAGUAACAAUCGAACUGGACAUACUCGAACUGGACAUACUCGAACUGGACAUACUCGAACUGGACAUAACAGAACAGGACAUACAAGAACUGAACAUAAUCGUCCUGUAUUUAUUCGAACUGGACAUAGACGAACUGAACGAGGUAGAACGGAACACGGUAGAACGGAACACGGUAGAACGGAACAUGGUAGAACUGAACAUGGUAGAACUGAACGAGGUAGAAAUAAUCAUAACAGAGCCAGACUCACAUCUAAUAAUAUAAUACGUACAAUCUCAACAAAUGGUAACAGAAAUGAAAUAGUAAAUACAGAUACCAUGGAAACUUUAAUCAAUAUAGGUAAUAUAUUAGAACAAAGAAUAGUAGAAACUGCUUUACCUAGUAGAAAUGUAACAACACUUAGAGAUAUUAUUUCACAAACAAAUAGUACCAACCCAACUUAUAACAGUCUUCUUAUAAAUACAAACAAUAGAAAUAAUCGAAAUAGAAGAAACAACCCUAAUAACAGAAUUAACAGAAAUCAUAUGUUACUUAAUGCAUUGAGAAGAGGUUAUGUUGUAACUCGCAAUAAUAAUAAUAUAAAUAAUAAUAUUAUUGUUAAUAAUAAUAAUAAUAUUAAUAGACGUUUUUCUCAUCCUUCAUUAUUAUCUACAUCAUCUUUAUCAAAUUCAAGAAACCAAAGAAACAGAAAUAAUUUACUUAGAGUUACUUAUAGUGACGAUAAUAAUAAUAAUAACAAUAAUAAUAAUAAUAAUAAUACUCCAGUUAUUGUUAUUAAUGCACGAGGUAUAAAUUCGCCUGUUAAUUUUAUUAAUAAUCUUUACAGUAGUGGGUUAUUACAAACAACUGAUAACUUACCAGCAGGAUUUUUUCGUUUUAAUCCUCAGUUGAGAACAAUAAUAAAUAGAUGUGAACAUAAUGGUGAUGGUAGUGACGAUAGUGAUGGUAGUGCUAACAGUAGCGGUUCUAACAGUAAUGACAAUGUAGACGAUAUAAGAAACGUAUCAAAUAAUAAUAACGUAACUAAUAGAGGUAACAGUGAUGAUAUAAAUGAUAGAAUUAAUAAUAACAACAGAAGUAAUGGGAGAAGUAAUGGGAGAAGUAAUGGAAGAAGUAACGAAAGAAGUACUGACAGAAGUAAUGACAGAAGUAAUGACAGAAAUAAUGACAGAAGUAAUAACAGAAAUAACGAAACAAGCAAUAGUGAAAUAAUAAGGUAUGGUAUUAUAGGGAAUGAUAUAUUACGAACUGAAAGUGUCCCUAUGAAUAACCUAUCAAAUAAUAAUACAUUUAAUCAUCGAUUAGGACAAAAUAAUGUAGAAAUAAGUAUUUUUAGUAAUAACAAUAAUAACAGUUAUCACAUUAAUAGAAAUAAUGAAGGAAUAAACGAUUAUAUAAGAAAUGAUAUAAUAAAUAAUAAUAUUAUUAGAGAGGGAACCAUAACAGGUGAUAAUGUAGACAUGAUAUGGGACAGCCCAGUACCCAAUUAUGAUACAAUAGCUAGCUAUAUAAAUAAUAACAACAGAAUUAAUAAUAAUAAUAAUAAUACUUUAUAUAAUCAGAUUAUUCGUGAUAUUAAUAAUAAUAAUAAUGUAGUAGAUGAUGGUUUGACUAACCAAAGGGGAUAUAACAAUACUCGAAACAACACUAACAACAGGAGUGAUAAUACAAAUAUUAUUAUUAAUAACAUUAACAAUAACAAUAUAAACAAUAUUAACAACAUUAACAACAUUAACAACAUUAACAACAUUAACAACAUUAACAACAUUAACAAUAUUAACAACAUUAACAAUAUUAACAACAUUAACAAUAUUAACAAUAUUAACAAUAUUACUAAUAAUAAUGUGAACGAUAUACAAUUAUUAUUUAAUGAACCAAACAGAAUAAAUAACAUUUCGAAUAAUUUAAUUACAACUAGUAAUAAUACUUUAACAAAUAAUAUUAGAACUAAUAAUGAAUCUGUUAAUAAUAAUAAUUAUUUAUAUUACAUGAUGAAUGAUAAUAGAAUGUUAGAAAGAGGAGAUAAUGCAUCAGUAAUAAGAUGUUUAAAAAAUUUAUUUAAUACAAAUAUAAAUCAAUUGAAAUCUUUGAAUAAUAAUAAAAAUGAUUCUUCUUUAUAUGUAUGUUUUGAAGAACCACUUCCCACACAAGCAUUAAUAGAUAUAUGUAGAUUAUUAUUUUUAAAAAAAGAAAUAAACAAAAAAAUUAUGUUCACUUUAUUUUGUAAUCUCAUUUGUUCGUUCCAAAAAACUAAAAUAUAUAUUUUACAAUUAUUUAUGAAUAUGUUAUGGUGCGCAUCAGUAGAUUUGCAUGGAAAAAAUGGAAACCCAUCUGUUGUUACAUUACGUAUAAUUAAUUUCCCACCAAAAACAUUAUACCAAAAUGUGAAUAAAAAAGAUCAAGAUGUAUUAAAUACAGAUAAUCACUUUACAACAGCAUUAGUAUCAGCAGAAAGAGUUCUAGAACAAAUACAAUCUUUAUUAAUUACAAUACCACAUAUUACUAUUUUCUUUUCAACUCAAUUAAUUCACCCAUCUUAUUUUAUCCCUAAAGAAAUUGAACAAAAAAUAAAAAAAAAAAGUGAAAAAAAAGGAAACAAUAAUUUUCUUACAUAUGGAAAUAAUGAAUUGAAUUUAAAUGUUAAUCAAAAGUCGAUGGGCGAAGAAGAUAAAUUUGUAAAUGGAAAAAUAUCAGAACAAUCAGGUGAUAUAGAUGAAUGUAUUGAAAAAUGCAAAGAUGACGAGGCUGUUAUUUUACAAUACGAACUUAAGAGAAAACGUUUUAAAAUGGAUCUAAAUAAAAAUUCUGUACAGGAAGAAUUGUCAUCACAACGAUAUCGUCAAUCGAAUGAUACUACAACUGGCAUUACAAAUAAUAAUAAUACCAACGAGAUUAUAAAUAAUAGUAAUAAUACGAAUCAUAACAAUUUGUCAGAUAAGCCAACACAUGAUUACCCAAUCAAUAUUUUGUUAAAAUUGUUAAACUCGUCACUUUAUUUAACUUCUAAAAAAUUAAUGAAUCAUUUAUUAUCUGUUAUUAUCGAUAUUUUAUUCAAUUGUGGUAAAAAAAAUAAUUCUUUUAUUAAUUUUACAAGAUGGAUUUAUGCUGAAAACAUACCAUAUAUUUUGAAUUCAGACAAAAAUAAUGUAAAAAAAAAUGGUGAUGAUAUUAUUAUAGAAAAUAAAGACAAUUGCAACGACAACAAAAAUAAGGAAAACUCUUUAUUAAAUAAAUCUGAACUUGGUGAUAAUACACAAAGUGUUAAGAGUAAUAAAGAAAAUAAUAAAAAGAAAAAAAAUAAAAAAAAAGUAAUAAUGCAAACUUAAAAGAAUGUCCUAUUAGUUCAUUUAAAGUAAAUAAAGAAAUAUUAUUGAAUAUAAAAAAUAUUAAA